rnacentral:lncRNA from 1 species
AAGAGAGGGACCUUACGACUGCAAAUGGAAUAAAAGGUACAAGGCUGGCUUCCUUUGCUUUCACUUGUGCCCAUGAAAGAAGCAAGAUUUCUGUCUUGGGUAUGCACUACAUUUCCACCAGAAUGAAGCAGCUCAUGAUGAUAUUUAAUGAAGGUUUGGUGAAAGAGUGCAACAAAGGAGAUGAGACCUGUUUAAAGGCAGACCAGAUGAGGAUCUUCUGAGUGUCUCGUGGGAAAGGAUCCUGAAGAUCAGCACUGUAUAUAUAUAUGGAAGUGCAUUUUUUGAAGGCCAGAAGGAAAUAUAGACAGCACCUAACCUGACCUCCAGCAUAACACUGGACAUAGAAACCUACCCUACAAACUCUGUGCUGCUCCUUCAGCUAGAGACAUGAAGAAACAUCCAUCCUUCCCUUCAUUUUCUGCAGUAAGCAUCUACC